rfam:Nasonia vitripennis chromosome 1 unlocalized genomic scaffold Chr1_random119, whole genome shotgun sequence.
CAAUCAGUUCUUUUAAGAACUAUUUACAUUAAUUAAAUGUAUGAAU